rnacentral:lncRNA from 1 species
CUUCCGAGUUUGCUUCUCAGAACCAAGAGGGGCUGGCUCUGCGCCCUGCCUACCUGUCCAGGGGUGGGGGCUGCCCUUUGAAGCUAUCAAUCUGGGUUUUAAGUGUGGAUUCAUUAUUGACAACACCAUGACGUUAUGCUGACAUGAAUUAUUUGUAUGUUUUUCAAAUUGUGCUGUGAUAACCCUGGCUGUCUUCCUGCUCCCAUAGUGGAUAAAAGCGUCCGAAAGAAUGCCGCCAUCUCUCUUCUCCCCACAGCCUGGAGCUGGGCCAACCGGAACUCAGCCACCACCUGUGCUCGGUGCAGCCUGGUUUGACCCCCACCCUCCUCCACCUGGCUGGGAUGGUCCCCCAAAGAACGGAGGGACUCCG